rnacentral:lncRNA from 1 species
GGAACCUCCAAACAGACAGUUUCCUGUUCAACGUCUCCUGCGAGACAAAGCCUUACACCCGCCGCGGUGUCCUGUCAACCAUCAAUAGCCUCUACGACCCGCUUGGAUUCGUCGCACCUGUCACAAUCCAAGGCAAGGCUAUCCUGCGAGAGCUCACCGCUGAGAACGGCGACUGGGAUGCACCCUUGCCUCAAGCCAUGGAGGAUGCCUGGACAUCAUGGAGAGCCUCUCUGUCCGAGCUCUCUAAGCUUUCCAUUCCCAGAUGCUACACACAGGCUUCACCGUCAGCAGCAGUAAGAAGAGAACUGUGCAUCUUCUGUGACGCGUCAGUCAAAGCCAUCGGUGCUGUGAGCUACCUCAAAGUCACAAACGCUGAUGGGAACCACCAGAUCGGAUUUGUCAUGGGAAAAGCUAAGCUGGCCCCCCGCCCUGAACACACAGUGCCAAGACUUGAACUUUGUGCGGCGGUGCUUGCUGUUGAGUUAGCAGACUUGAUUUCAGCAGAACUAGACCUGCAGCUUGACACCAUAACCUACUUCUCAGACAGCAAAGUGGUCCUGGGCUAUAUCUGCAAUGAGACCAGGCGCUUUUAUGUCUACGUCAGCAACCGGGUGCUACGCAUCCGAAGAUCCUCCCGCCCAGACCAGUGGUGCUACGUGCCAACAGACCAGAACCCGGCAGAUCACGCAACACGUUCUGUUCCUGCUGGCCACCUGAACGACACCAACUGGCUGAGUGGACCCAAAUUCCUGUAUAAGCCAGAGCCCAGCCUCUCUGAGAGUGCCUUUAACCUUGUUGACCCAAGCUCAGACCCAGACAUCCGCCCUCUGGUGUCUACUUUAAGCACCAUAGCCUCGUCCAAGCAGCUUGAUUCUCAACGCUUCGCCAAGUUCUCCACCUGGAAGUCACUGUCUCGUGCAGUCACUCGCCUCAUCCACAUAGCUCGUCACUUCAAGACGACUCAGAGAGAAAACAGUACAUGCAAGGGCUGGCAUUACUGCAAAGCAGAACUCACAGUUGAAGAAUCAGAGAAAGCUUCAGUCAUAAUCAUCCAAGCAGUUCAACAGGAAAUAUACAGUCAAGAGAUAAAGUGCAUUCAAAAGCAAGAAAAGAUGCCAAAAACAAGCCCUCUCAGAAAUCUGGAUCCGUUCAUUGACACACAUGGCCUUCUCAGAGUCGGAGGUCGCCUUCACCUUUCAAACCUUGAACAGAGUGAAAAGACUCCUCUGAUUAUUCCCGGUCAGCAUUGCAUCGGCACUUUGCUCAUCAGACACCACCACGAACAAAUCCAUCAUCAAGGCCGUCACUUUACAGAAGGGGCGGUCCGCUCAGCUGGCCUUUGGAUAGUUGGUGGGAAGAAAAGAGUGAGCAGCAUCAUCCACCAGUGCAUAACCUGCAGAAAACUCAGAGCUCCACUCAGCAUCCAAAAAAUGGCUGAUCUGCCAGCUGAUCGUCUGUCAACAGACCCUCCAUUCACAAACGUGGGUCUGGAUGUCUUCGGCCCUUGGAACGUUUCAUCACGCAAGACCAGAGGUGGCUUCGCACACAGUAAGAGGUGGGCGGUGAUCUUUACGUGCAUGAGCAUAAGAGCUGUGCACAUUGAAGUCAUAGAAUCCCUCGACACGUCUAGCUUCAUCAACGCGCUACGGCGCUUCCUUUCGGUACGCGGGCCAGUCAAACACAUUCGUUCAGACCGCGGCACGAACUUCAUCGGUGCCUGCAAAGAGUUGAAGAUACCAUCCAACAUUGACAGCUCUGCGGUAAAGACUUACCUGUCAGACAAGGGCUGCACUUGGACCUUUAAUCCUCCGCAUGCAUCCCAUUACGGCGGAACAUGGGAAAGAAUGAUAGGACUGACAAGGAGAAUUCUGGACUCAAUGUUCCUCCAGCUGAAAGACAAGCUCAGCCACGAAGUGCUGGUGACUUUCAUGGCAGAAGCAGCGGCGAUCAUCAAUGCCAGGCCACUUGUUCCAGUGACAACGGACCCUGAUGACCCACUCAUACUCACGCCAGCAGCUCUUCUCACGCAAAAGAUGAACAUUCUUCCUGCUCCUGCCGGUGAGUUCGGAGUUGCUGACCUCUACAAGUCCCAGUGGCGACAGGUUCAGCACCUGUCAAACACCUUCUGGGACCGCUGGAAGAAGCAAUUCCUCCCAACACUACAGGCGCGCAAGAAGUGGCAGUCCACCCAGCCAAACAUUCAGCCAGGAAGUGUUGUUCUCCUUAAGAACAGACAAGCACCCAGGAAUGAAUGGCCUCUUGGACUGAUAACACAGGCCUUCCCUGGCAAGGACAGUAAAGUGCGCCAGGUCGAGGUGAAGACCAUCAAACCAGGAGGGACUAGUCUCUUUCUUAGGCCAG